rnacentral:rRNA from 1 species
CCUACGGGUGGCAGCAGUGAGGAAUAUUGGUCAAUGGACGAGAGUCUGAACCAGCCAAGUAGCGUGAAGGCUGACUGCCCUAUGGGUUGUAAACUUCUUUUAUAAAGGAAUAAAACGAGGCACGUGUGCCUGUUUGCAUGUACUUUAUGAAUAAGGAUCGGCUAACUCCGUGCCAGAAGCCGCGGUAAUACGGAGGAUCCGAGCGUAGACCUGAUUUAUUGGGUUUAAAGGGAGUGAAGAUGGGUUGUUAAGUCAGUGGUGCAAGUUGGCGGCUCAAACGUAAAAUUGCAAUUGAUACUGUCAGUCUUGAGUACAAUUGAGUUAGGCGGAAUUCGUGGUGUAGCGGGGAAAUGCUUAGAUAUCACGAAGAACC